CAGAGAGCAAAUUAGAAUCCAAGGAAGUUGACAUGUCAUCACUUCAUUUUUUUGCGCCUGCGCAUAAAUCUGAGAAACGUGAGUUUUGUCUUCAUUUUUUAUCUAGACAUAGGAUAGGUUGUGUGAAAAUAUUACUGAUGUUUAACGUUAAAAAUGGACCAAAAGAUUAAUGCUAAACAACAUUUGACAUGUUUGAACGAACAUAAAUAGAUUAUUUACUAGGUUUUUUUAGCUUUUCGGCGUGAUUUUACAGUCCCCCCACCACGUUUUGUGGGAGCAUAAUGAACGCUAAGUACUUGGUGUUAUUUGGACAUAAAUUAUGAACUUUGUCAAAAGAAACCACAUUUGUUCCGGACCUGGGAUGCCUUCCGGACCUGGGAUGCCUGCCAUCUGAUGGAGAUAAUCAAAGCCUUGUUAGCAAUCCCGGCUCGGGGUUCAUUGCUAACCUGUAGCCCCAACAGGUUAAUGACUUGGAGAAGAUCUGCAAAGAGGAGUGGGACAAAAUCCCUCCUGAGAUGUGUGCAAACCUGGUGGCCAACUACAAGAAACAUCUGACCUCUGUGAUUGCCAACAAGGGUUUUGCCACCACGUACUAAGUCAUGUUUUGCAGAGGGGUCAAAUACUUAUUUCCCUCAUUAAAAUGCAAAUCAUUUUAUAACAUUUUUGACAUGCGUUUUUCUGGAUUUUUUUGUUGUUAUUCUGUCUCUCACUGUUCAAAUAAAC
rnacentral:lncRNA from 1 species